UUUUACUUGUUAAACAAGAAAUAUCUACGUAUGAUGUUGAUACACUGCCAUGAUUUAAAUCACCUCAAGUUAAUUUCAUUCUCUCUUUGUUUUCUUAUGAAAAGAUUUAAUCUUACACCUGGAAGUCUGGGUUUUUUAAAUUGAAUUCUAUAGAAAUGUUCUCAAAUUCAGAUAAUUCUAUAUUGUGCACAUGAUGUCAAAUAACAUGCUUGGUUAAAUUUUUCAUUUUUAACCAGUUGCUUCAGCAAUAUUUAUUUUCCAAGUUUAUUCUGUUCUUUCAGUAUUUAAAAUUCCUUAAUUAUUGUGAUAUGAUUUGGAUAUUUGUGCCACCCAAAUCUCAUGUUGAUAUGUAAUCCCCAGUGUUGGAGGUGGGACCUGGUGGGAAGUGUAUGGGUCAUGGGGGCAGAUCCCUUAUGGCUUGGUGCUUUCUCCAAGAUAGUGAGUGAGUUCUCAUGAGAUCUGGUCAUUUAAAAGUGUGUGGAACCUGCCCCCGACUCACUUGCUCUUGCUUUCGCCGUAUGAUGUACUUGCUCCUGCUUCACCCUCCACCAUGAGUAAAAGCUCCCCGAGGCCUCCCUAGGAGCUGGGCAGAUGUUGGUGCCAUGCUUCCUGUACAGCCUGCGGAAACAUGAACCAAUUAAACCUAUUUUCUUUAUAAAUUACUGUCUCAGGUAUUUCCUUAUAGCAAUACAAGAAUCACUCAAUACAUACUGAUAUCAUGAGUUUCACUGGACAUUUAAAAUAUUUUCCUCAUGAGGGAAAAUUCCCACCUUGACCUGACCUCUCAUCAGUUUUAUGUAUCUGCAGAAAAAUCCUUCUAAAAGAUUGAGAUGAGCAACAAUAGGACAAACUUUCAAAUGGUACUGUUGACUGAGAAUACAAUGGACAAUGCCAAACUGUUUACAGAUGUUAUGCUUGGCCUCUUUCCCAGUGCCAGAUAUUUGUAUGAAAGAUGAAGAGUAUAAUCUAUUUACAUACAGUGGUUUUCCUCCCCAAAACUUUUGAGCUUUGUUAUGCUUUAAUAACCAUAUGCUCUUGAAAAUUGAUUUCUUUUUUGAAGACCAUCUGCAUCUAUGUAGCUAGGCACCUAUUUCUUCCAUUUCUUCAAAACUGAAUGUUGCCCUCUUUUCACACUGCAUUCUCCUCACACUACCAGUGCCCCAGUGGAUUAUGUUUUGCUACAGUGAAGGAAAAGAAAACUCUGAAAGACGUAGUGUAGUUGCUGUAGUUUGAAUGUAUUCCUCAAAGUUUAUCCCCAAUGCAACAGUGUUGGCAGGUGGGGUCUAGUAAGGUGAUGAUUAGUUAUGAGAGCUCUGCCUUCAUGAAUGGAUUGAUGAUGUCAUUAUCACAAGGGUGGGUUGGUUACCAUGUGAGUGGGCUUGUUAUAAAAGCAAGUUCAGCCUCCUCUUGCUCUUGCUCUCUUGCCCUUCUGCCUUUUGCCAUGAGAUGACACCAGAUGCAGACCCCUCAACCUUGUACUCCUCAGUCUCCAGAACUGUAAGACAUUUCUUUUCCUUAUAAAUUUCCAGUCUAUAGUAUCCUGUUACAGCAACACAAAACAGACCAAGACAGUAGUGUUGUAUUUUUUCUUCAGGUCAUGAUAUAGCCAUGUAGAGCAGUGGAUAAGAGGACAGGUUUUGGAGUUAAAUGAUCCAUCUUCUUAUUCUGGCUUCACCAGUUAUGUAAUCUUAUAUACAUUAUUUACUUUCUAUGCUCCUUCUAAUUCAUCUUAUGAAGAAAACGAUGCUACAUAUCUCUUUAAAGUUGUUAGGGUGAUUAAAUAAGAGAAUGUAUACAAAGGGUGAAUGCUUAAUAAAAGGUAGCCGUUAAGCUCCUGCAGUUUUACAGCCUUCAAAUUCAUGUAGCACAAAAGGCGCUAAAGUGGAAGAAAAAGUGGCUGUCCAAUAUAGUGGAAGGUGGCAGCUAAUUUAUUUUCUGGAAGUGAAGAACCUAUGUCUUAGUUUCAAAGAGUCUGAUUGGGUGGACUAAAGCAUAUUUAUAAAUUAAAACUUGAGGUGCAUAAAACCUUCUUUGAAGAGUUAUAUACAGGACAGAGGUGAGAGAAUGUAAUUUUCACAUGCAUCUGUCUUCUAUGAGGAGCUUAAUAUUCUUUGGCCAAGUGGUUCUCAAACCUAUUUAACUAUAAUUAUUAGCUGUAGAGCUGUAAAUACAAAUAAAAACAAAUAAUAUAGUUGGCCCAACCAUAGGCCAACACUCUCAGGAGUUCAGUUGGUAGGGACACAGAAGGUAAUUUUUAAGAGCUCUACAAUUAAUUCUGAUACCUACUAUUCUCUCUGUAUGCCCAGAACAAAAUACUAAUUUUGACACAGAUAGGACUCAGGGAAGUCAUAUUCUUAAGGUAAUUUCUCUAUGAAAAUGGAAGAAAACAUAAUCUAUUUCUUUUAUAUUUUUCAUAAAACAGUGUUUCGAUGAAGAUACAAGAACAACUGAUGAUAAUAUGUCAGCAAGUCAUUAAUUUUGGGCUAGUUAACAGGCAGUUUGAACUAAAAUGGCAAACCAAUUCAUUGAAAAAUAUUUAAAAGUUUAAAAAAUAAUAAAAGUAUCAGACUAUUAACAGAAAUACAAAGAUAAUUGAAGACAGUAAGAAAGAACAGAAUUAUGGAAGCAGAAAAUUGAACCAGUAAUACAGAAGUAAAUUUGAUAAAAUUUUCCAUUAUAUAGGGUGUCUUAGCACAACUCUGCUGCUAUAACAAGAUACCUAAGCUGGUAAUUUAUAAUAAACAGGAAUUUAUUUUCUCACAGUUCAGAAGACUGGGAAGUCCAAGAUUAAUGCACCGGCAGUUUUGUUUUUUGUUUGUUUGUUUGUUUGUUUGUGUCCAGAGAGGGGUGCUCUUGCUGCUCCCUUAAUGAGGUCUUGUUGCUACAUCCCCAGAGGGAAGAAAUGUUGUUUUUUAUGUGGCAGAAGAAAUAGAAGGGCAAAAAUGAAUGAACUUCCUCCAUCAUGCCCUAUUUUAACGACACCGAAUCCUAGUCAUGAGGGACUCAAUCACCUUCUAAUGGCCACACCUCCUAAUACUGUUCUAUUGGGAAUUAAGUUUCAACAUGAAUUCUGAAAGAGACAAAAAUAUUCAAGCCAUAGCAUAGAAAUUACAUGAAAAUAAUAACAAAUAAAAGAGACAAAAACAUAUGGAGAAGAUACAUAAUUUAGAAUGAACAUAUUCAAUGUAAGAAAGAAUAGAAACAAAUAAAACAGAAAGCAAUAAUCAAACAUAUAAUUGAAGAAAUGUUCUGAAUUGGAGAAGAGAAAGGGUUUUGAAAGGUGUUAAUAUACACCAGGCAAAAAAUAAUAAUAAUAACAGCAUACCAACUUUAGAUGUGCAGUGGCAACAUUUAAAAAUUUUAAUAUUAAAAAAUUUUUUAAAUCCAGUUGAAAGAUUAUCAGCAAAUCACAAAAAUUAAGCUGAUUUAAAAAUUCUCCAUGACAACAUCAGAAUUAAAUGAAAUGAUUUGUAUGGCAUUUGUAUCUGAAUAACCUAAUACACAUUCACUAAAUGGAAGCCAUAGAAAAUAUUCUCAGAUCCAUAAGAAAAAAGAAAACAAGUGACUCAUAAAUAUUCUGGAAAUAUUUUGUUCAGUUUUGGUUUUCGUUUUUCAAGACUAUUGAGAUAUAAUUCACAAAUAAAAAGUAUAUCUAUUUAGAGGUAUAGAAUGUGAUGUUUUGAUACAAUAGUCCCCCCUUAUCUGUAGGGCAUACAUUCCAAGAUUCUGAGUGGAUACCUCAGAAUAUCAUUCCAAGAUACCUAAAGCCGUGGAUAGUACCAAACCCUAAAUAUAUUGUCUUUUCAUAUGCAUACACACCUAUGAUAAAACUUAAUUCAUUAAUUAGGCACAGUAAGAGAUUAACAACAAUAACUAAUAAUAUAGUAGCUCUAUUAAAACGACAUACUGUAAUCAAAGCUAUGUGAAUGUUGUCUCUGUCUCUGUCUCUCUCUCUCUCUCAAAAUAUCUUAUUGUAUUUUUUUGCAGGUAACUGAAACCACAGAAAGCAAAACUGUGGUUAAGGGUGAACUACUGUACAUGUAUACAUUGUGAAAUGAUUACCACAAUCAAGCUAAUUAACAUAUCCAUCAUCUUACAAAGUUAUCUAUUGUAUGUGUGUGUGCAUGUGUGUGUGUGUGUGUGGUGAGAAUUCUUUAGAUGUACUCUCUUAGCAAAUUUCAAGUAUGCAAUAUGUUAUUAUUAACUAUAGUCACCAUACUGUAUAUUAGGCCUUCAGAAUUUAUUAGUCUUAUAGCUGAAAAUUUGUACCAUUUGACCAACAUCUUCCAUUUUUUCCACAGCUUCACCCCUGCUUCUGAGUUUGACUCCUCUCCUUUCCGCUUCUGUUUGACAUUUUUAGAUUCCACAUAUAAGUGAAAUUAUUCAGUAUUUGUCUUUCAGUGUCUGGCUUAUUUCUCUUAUUAUAAUAUAGUACAAUAUGAUAGAGUAUAAUAUUGUCCAUAUUCAUCCACGUUGUCACAAAUGACAGGAUUUUCUUCCUUUUUUGGCUGAAUAAUAUGCCAUUGUGUAAAUAUACAAUGGAAUUGUGUAUGUAUACACACCACAUUUUCUUAAUCUAUUUAUCUGUCAAUGGACACUUACCUAUUUUUCUAUUACCUAUUAGAGCAGUGCUUUGAGAUGCUCCAGUUUGUGUGCCUUUUUUCUAUCCUUCUUUCAUCCAGGCGGUGGGAGAAGCAUGAAAUGCAUUUGCAGUGGCCUUGGGCCAUUGGUGGUGUCCGCAGGUGAGACAUCUCGAGUGCCUCAUGGACAAACUUCCUCAUGGAAUCCACUGGAGCAAUUAUGAGAGUCCACGGCCUCUCUUCUCUGGUUCUACCCUCUCCCAAUCUCUCACCUGUGCCGAUCACCUCAGUAAUUUGGGUAAGACAAAAAAGAGGUGGGGCUAUUGGGCAGCAUCUCACACAGCCAGGGAACUGACAGUUUAUUUACUAUACUCUCACUUUCCUUUAUGGGAGAAACGGGCUAAGGAGGUCUCUCUUGGCACUGAGCUGUGACACCUUGGGGGAGAAAAAGUGCAGGACCAGAAAAUCUUUCUCUUCCAGUCAGUGUCAUUCAUUUAUGACCAGCGGUUGAAUCCAGUCAUAAAAUCUGAAGCUCCUGGGUACCUCUACAUCACUGGGCCUAUGAUACACUGUUUCAGAACGUACUUACACAUGGGGUGGGACGAUUUUCUUAACUAAUACUUGUGACUACUCCACAGCAAAGCUGGAAACAAAAGUAUUGGGUGAGCUAUCUUCCAAAAUCUGGAGAUGGUUUCGGAGAGAGUUUCAUUGCCAUAAAUUUAAAGGGGGAUUGGAUUUACUCAGGAAAAAUUACAAGUGAGCGUAGGAGAUAAACUAGUAAAUGCCAUAUUUGGCCCACCAGGCACAAAGAAGGGUUAUAAUUGGCUCCUUUAAGUCCUAUAUGCAGAUAUCAAAUCCCUAUACUUGCUCUUUAUUGCAUAGAAUAAAUUUACCUCACUCCUUACUUUGAAACAUGAAAUGAGGAUCAAAUUAUAGUUUCAAUUAUUGCAAAUAGUUGUACAAAUGAAAAGAUUGUCUUAUUGUGGGCAUUACACAAACCCACCAAGGAAUAAGUAAUCUUUAAAUUCUAUGAAGUGAUUUGUAAUCUGAUACAGUAAGAAAAAAAAAUCUCAGACUUUGAUUAAUUACCACCACGCUCACCGCUAUAUCACUGUCCAAUGUCAUCAUAAUUUCACUGCCACUUAAAACUACACUUCAGCCAUAGAAAGCCAAAAAAUUAGGCACUGGUGACCUGUCCAAAAGAAAAAAAAAAAAAAAGGAACAGGAAGUGGAGAAAUACCACCUCAUAAAUUUCACCCAACCACAUUUAACAGCCACCUGGAGUUCACACCAACUCACUUGGAUCUCCUAUGACGAAUAUGCCUCUAUCACAAUGUUGAGGCCACUGAGUUUCUCAUGUACUAAAAUUUGGCUUAAUGUGGUUACUCUUUCUCUCUGGGAGUUUUAAGAACAACUUCAUGGUCAUAAUAUUCUCUUUAAUAAAUAUGAUUCAUCUGAAUGUUAGAUUCCCGUUUAACUACCACAAUCUUCAGAAGAAAAGUUAUAGCUCUUACUGACUUCAGAAGCUGCUCUGGAUGACUUUAUAAUUUAUCAUCCAAAUGGAAGACGUUUGAGAGCGAAAGGAUACACUAAAAUAAUUAAAUGUAUACAAUUUUUGGAAAAUGUUUAUUGCUUAAAAAUAUUGUUUAUUGUAUGAAAUUUUGUAUAUUUAUAUUCAUGUGUCUGUAAAAACAAUUCUAUUCAAAAAUUACUUUAAAAAUUCUUUAAAGAUACAAAUAUAUUUGUAUACUUUAAAACAGGUUGAAAUAUUGAUUAUAUAAACUAUUAGAAAGUUACAUAAGCAGAAAGAAUAUUACCUGCACAUAUUUAUGUGCUUUAAUCUGCUCCUUAGCUGAAUCUGUCUCUAAUGUGUUUUUUAAAAAAUAUUUUUAAAUUAUUUUUAUUUUUCCUAUAAAAUUGUCUGAAAUAUUUGAAAUUUGAAAAUUAAAAUUCUUCAUUUAAAAAUUUGAAGUCACUGAUAUCCUUACUCACUAGACACAUCUUUGUAAAAGAACCAAAAAAAUAAAAUAUCUGUAAAUGUCCCAAGGGAACUGCUUAUCUCCAAAUAAAUUCUGCUAAAUGUGAUAUUAUCUCAAUUUCAAUUUAUUUUAAGCUGAAAUGCAUAAAUGUUUCAGCCCAAAUAUUUUCAUGGGCACUGCCUCUUUUGCCUCCAUGUAGCACAGCUUCUUCCAACAAAUUUUUUUUAAGACAACACUUGUCAAAAAAGUUGUAUCUAUUUAUAAUAUUUUUGAAAACUUCACCAAAUUAAAGCGCUGAAACAUUGUAGGCUUUGUCAAUUUUCUUUCAGUCUGAUACAAAAUACCA
rnacentral:lncRNA from 10 species